rnacentral:rRNA from 1 species
UACGUAGGUGACAAGCGUUGUCCGGAUUUACUGGGCGUAAAGAGCGCGCAGGCGGUCGAUCAAGUCGAGUGUGAAAGCCCCCGGCUCAACUAGGGAGGGUCAUUCGAUACUGAUCGACUCGAAGGCAGGAGAGGGUAGUGGGAAUUCCCGGUGUAGUGGUGAAUGCGUAGAUAUCGGGAGACACCAGUGGCGAAGGCGACUACCUGCCUGUUCUUGACGCUGACGGCGCGAAA